rnacentral:rRNA from 1 species
AACGUAGGACGCAAGCGUUUAUCCGGAGUUACUGGGCGUAAAGGGCAGGCAGGCGGGUCGAUAAGUCGGAUGUGAAAUCUCCCUGGCUUAACCGGGAGAGUGCAUUUGAGACUGUCAACCUGGAGGGCAGCAGAGGAGCGUGGAAUCCGGGUGGAGUGGUGAAAUGCGUAGAGAUCCGGAGGAACACCAGAGGCGAAAGCGGCGCUCUGGGCUG